rnacentral:rRNA from 1 species
CACAUGCAAGUCGAACGGAGCUUAGAGAGCUUGCUUUUUAAGCUUAGUGGCGAACGGGUGAGUAACGCGUGAGUAACCUGCCCUAGAGUGGGGGACAACAGUUGGAAACGACUGCUAAUACCGCAUAAGCCCACGGUACCGCAUGGUACUGAGGGAAAAGGAUUUAUUCGCUUUAGGAUGGACUCGCGUCCAAUUAGCUAGUUGGUGAGGUAACGGCCCACCAAGGCGACGAUUGGUAGCCGGACUGAGAGGUUGAACGGCCACAUUGGGACUGAGACACGGCCCAGACUCCUACGGGAGGCAGCAGUGGGGGAUAUUGCACAAUGGGGGAAACCCUGAUGCAGCGACGCCGCGUGGAGGAAGAAGGUUUUCGGAUUGUAAACUCCUGUCGUUAGGGACGAUAAUGACGGUACCUAACAAGAAAGCACCGGCUAACUACGUGCCAGCAGCCGCGGUAAAACGUAGGGUGCAAGCGUUGUCCGGAAUUACUGGGUGUAAAGGGAGCGCAGGCGGGAAGACAAGUUGGAAGUGAAAACCAUGGGCUCAACCCAUGAAUUGCUUUCAAAACUGCUGGCCUUGAGUAGUGCAGAGGUAGGUGGAAUUCCCGGUGUAGCGGUGGAAUGCGUAGAUAUCGGGAGGAACACCAGUGGCGAAGGCGGUCUACUGGGCACCAACUGACGCUGAGGCUCGAAAGCAUGGGUAGCAAACAGGAUUAGAUACCCUGGUAGUCCAUGCCGUAAACGAUGAUUACUAGGUGUUGGGGGAUUGACCCCCUCAGUGCCGCAGUUAACACAAUAAGUAAUCCACCUGGGGAGUACGACCGCAAGG